CCCCUGGAGCAGAUUAUCCCGGUGGUAUAAAGAGCCCGCUGCUACCGCAGUUGGCUUAGAGUUGACCAUGCAGUGGUUCAGCCCCCUGUUCCUGGCUGUGCUCCUUCUGUCGCUGCUGGCGGCAGCCUCAGGCGCCCCUGAGGCUUGCUGCGGCGGCGGCGGUGGCGGCGGCGGCGGCGGUGGUUUCGGCGGCGGCGGCGGCGGCGGCGGUGGCGGUGGACGCUAAAUGAAGCACCGCCUCAAAGGUGUAUAUUAUUACGAGCGUAAGCCUCCGGAUGCCUGUAGGUCUCUGUAUACAGAUCAAUCGAUACCUAUCGAUCCUGGUAGACAGAGGCUCGGAAGCUGGAUGGGCUUACCAGUGCACUGAUUGUGCUGUGAAAUAUACACCAGAAACCUA